ensembl:lncRNA
GGAGGCCUCGGGCCGCGCCCCACAGGAAGCACCCCGCUUUUGUUGAGGCUGCAGUGCCGAGGGCCCGCCCUUGUUUGCUGGGGCUUUCCUGCCGGGCUCUGUGGCAAGGUGGCUGAAAGCAGAAGGCUCCCCAGCCCCUGGCCGGGCUCCAGCCUAGAGGCUGAGGUCUGGAGGGGAGCCUGAGACGCUGCGUGUGUAACACGCCCCCAGGGGAGGCUGCUCCUUGUGGCCGGAGGCCCACGCCGUGAGGGGCAGAACCCUAGGAGAGGACCCCGAAGAAGUUCGGCAGGUGCAGACGUGGGACAGGGUGUUCCUGAGAGCCAGGACCCUCCAGGGUCUUCUUCAUAGAGAUCCUUCCCUACCGUGGAGGUGCGAAGGCUCUCGGAGCAAGCCUGGUGGUGGAUGGCCAGGCCCCGUGGCUGAACUCCUCCAGUCCUGGGCUCCAGCUAGGACUUCUCAGCUCCAUGUCCUGUGUCUGGGACACGGGGCAGCUAGAGCUCAUUGUAUCUUGCAUUUGAAGGAAGGAAUGACCAUUAACACCUCAGCUGUGGCCCAGCAGGACAACAGCAGAGCAGGCACUGCAGUUAGAAUCAGGUCAGUUCAGUUCCGUCGCUCAGGCAUGUCCAAUUCUUCACGACCCCAUGAACCGCAGCACGCCAGGCCUCCCUGUCCAUCACUGACUCCUGGAGUCCACCCAAACUCGCCCUGGGGCAAAUCCUGGCUCUGCUCUGCGCCAGCUCCCUGGGUCGGGGCAUACCCUGGGACCUCUCGGGCCUCUGUUUCCUCAUCUGUGAAAUGGGGAUGGUAACAGGACCUGCCUCCAAGAGUUGUUGCGUGUCUUCUGUGAUGUAUAUAAAUUGCCUCCAGCUAUUGUCAACCUUCAGUACAUGUUAUCUAUUAUUUUUGUUCAGAGCUGAAGUUGACAUUUGCCAUCUCGACCACAUGUUCCUGCAUUUUAAAAAAUUUUUAGAUGGAUUUUUGUUGGAGUGUAGAUAGCUGACUUACAAUAUUGUGUUAGUUUCUCUCGACCACUUUUUGAUGGGUAUAUUUGGGGAGGAUGGGCAUAUUUGUCUAACCUAUGGCUUAUGAGGGAGCAUCAUUUAUUUUUGUCAUGCCUGCCUUCCAUUGACACGAAUAAUGACAGAUAUUUGUAUUAACUUUUACAAAAUUCUUCCUUGAACCUAAAACAGGAAAACACAUGUAAUGAAAUAAACAGGGGUCUUGGCAGAAUGCUUCAAGCGGGGCCCUUAGGUCAGAGCUGGUUUCUUGAGACCAGCCCUGCUCUGUCAGGCGGGAGGAUUCAGUUGCACUAGCACAUUCCCAGUGCUCAGCGGCCACACGUGGCUCCUGGCUACCAAGCUGGAGAGCCCAGAUACGUAGACGUAGAACCGUCCUCCAGACAGCACUGACAUAGAGUGUAAGGUUUCUUUACAUUAAGAGUUGAGACUAGGACUUCCCUGGUGGACUAGUGGUAAAGAAUUGAUCUGCCAGUGCAGGGGACACAGGUUUGAUCCCUGGUCUGGGAAGAUUCCACAUGCUAAAUGGCAACUAAGCCUCCUGCAACCUCAACUCCUAAGCCUGCAUUCUAGAGCCCAGAAAACAAAGCAAGAGAAACCACAGCAACAAGAAGCCUGAGCACUGCAACUAGACAAAGUCCACGCACAGCAAUGAAGACCCAGUGCAGCCAAAAAUACAUUAAAAAAAAAAAAAAAGAGUUGCAGACUGUAAUUGAGAUACUCAGAGAUGGCAAAAUCCAGAAGUCACGCAAUGAGGAUGUUGCAGAAUUGAGCACAAAAGUUAGGAAAUGGUAAAGGGUACCUUUGCUUUUAGAUGAUAAAGUUUAACUCUACAUUUUUUUGUUCCACGGCUAUUAUUAAGUACCUAGACACUUACUCUUUGCAGAGCUCUAGACUGGCGGCUCUAGGGAGGAUAGUAACGUCUGGCAGAUGCAAUCAGUGACCCCAAAUUGCUUGCCAUUGAGUUGGAUGGAUAGCAAGUAUGUAGAAUACUAAACAGCAAGGAGGAGUUUGAGGAGUGUGAGGAGUUUCAAGGAGGAGUGUGAGGAAGACCCAGUGAGAGGCUGUGAGAGCGGAGUGGAUCUGAAAACAAGCUGUGAUGCUUGACUUUCCCAGGACAGGAGACACAAGUAGAACUGAGUCAAAGAGGCAGAAAGGGG